rnacentral:rRNA from 2 species
AUCUAAAUGUUAGUGGCAAACGGUGAGUAAUUCGUGGGUGACUAGCCUUUAAGUGGGGGAUAACUAGCCGAAAGGCUGGCAAUACCGCAUAAUAUCGUUAGUUUAAAUACUAACGAUUAAAGUCGGGGACCUUUUUUAUAAGGCCUGGCGCUUAAAGAAGGGCUCACGACCUAUUAGCUAGUUGGUGAGGUAAUGGCUACCAAGGCGAUGAUGGGUAGCCGAUCUGAGAGGAUGACCGGCCACAUUGGGACUGAGAUCGGCCCAAACUCCUUCGGGAGGCAGCAGCGAGGAAUCUUCCGCAAUGGGCGCAAGCCUGCGGAGCGACGCCGCGUGAACGAUGAAGGCCUUCGGGUUGUAAAGUUCUGUUAAGUGGGAGAAAAAUUUAUUCUUGAAUAAAGAAUAAAUAUGACGGUACCACUAGAGAAAGCUCCGGCAACUACGUGCCAGCAGCCGCGGUAAUACGUAGGGAGUUAGCGUUAUCCGGAAUUACUGGCGUAAAGCGCACGUAGGUGGUCAAAUAAGUUACAUGUGAAAUCUUUCGGCUUAACUGAAGGCUGCAUGUAAAACUGUUUGACUUGAGUACAGAAGAGGAGAACGGAAUUCCCAGUGUACGGUGAAAUGCGUAGAUAUUGGGAAGAACACCGGUGGCGAAGGCGGUUCUCUGGUCUGAACUGACACUGAGGUGCGAAAGCUAGGGGAGCAAACGGGAUUAGAUACCCCGGUAGUCCUGCCGUAAACGAUGGAUACUAGGUGUAGGAGGUAUUCAAUCCUUCUGUGCCGCAGCUAACCAUUAAGUAUCCCGCCUGGGAAGUACGGCCGCAAGGUUGAAACUCAAAUGAAUUGACGGG